GUCAAUAUGAUUUUAUUUCCAAACUGCAAUAGCUUUGUUUGACUAUUCCACUGCUUGUUAUGGGGAAGAACAGGCAAAGCCACUGCCACGUUUUCGGAUACCAAACUGGUCAAAUCCCUGCAGAUAGGUCGAAAAGGAUAGCAAUACCUGAUCAACCGCCUACUGUCAGUACAUUCAAUCCUUCGCCUUUGCCUUCUGAUAAAAUUAGUCAAGGCGGUCCUAUAAUACGUGAAAUCAAUCUUAGUAACGCCAGUUCAAGCCGUACAGUUGCUGUUGCAGCACCGCAUUUGAGAAAUUCCACGGGUUUAAGAAGUAACUUCCAACCCGUGCAGCUCAACCCACAACCUGCAGCUGCCGUAAGUGAAUUCAGUCGAUGAUAUAGUUUUAUCCACAAAUUUGAUCUAAAAUGAAAAAAAAUCUUGGCAGGAUACUGGAAACAACAUCGUUGGCAAGUCAGCUGAUGAGAUAAGGGAAGAGAACAUACAACUCUUCAUGAGGUAUAUUUAUAACAAGAGAAAAACACAUUUCAGUAUCAUAUCUCUCUGAUGAUCUAAAUCAAAUAAUAUUCUUUAACAGGUGCGAGGAAUAUAUAAAGAAAGAGAAUGAAAUAGAACAGACGGUAAUUUUGAUUCCGCAUUUCAAAACAUCUGUUUAUUACAUUACAUGGACUCUAACACCGGUAUAAAUUGAUGAUAAAACAGGUAAAGAGCUUAGAAAAGGAACUGGAAGAAGUUAAAAGUAAAUGUGCACAACUUGCUUUGCUUGUGGACGCUAAGAAGAAGGAGAUGCAACAAGUUUAGUUAAAAACCCUAGUUUGAUUCAGAUUUUUUGGUGUUCUUGAUUUUUUUUUUUUUUUUUUUAACUUUCAUGGUGUUCUUGUAUUUGCUUAAUAGCAUGUCAUGUGCAUAUAUGUAGCAUAUAUAGACAGAAGUAAAAAAAAAUAGCAUUUUUGAGAAAUGGGCCUAUAAGUAUUUCGGCUUUGGAGCCCAAUUAGACUCUGAUGACCAAAAAAAAGAAGCAAUGAUGACGAAAAAGACGUUUGCUUUUCCUUCAUACUGUGGUUGAAAGUCUUUUCUAGUCUUAUCGGAGAAGACGACUGCUUCAUUAAAUUAGAGAAUUCGUGUAUGCCUCGUAUGGCGGAAAAUGCAGCAGUCGCUGAUGUUGUUCAUCUCGACAGUGAUAGUGACAGUGACGACGGAGUAGGAGGAAGAGAAUCAGCAAGUACAAUCGCUGAUGCUGCGACGGUGGCUCCUACGGAAUGCCGGAGCUUUUGGAAAGCCGGAGAAAACUUUGUGAUACCGAACGUUGUGACUCCGACUUCUCCAGGUCAUCUCUCUCUUCCUCAUACACACGCAUGCAUCACGAAAUAUGGUUUUGGGAGUAUUAAAUGAGAUGAAAUUUGACAGGUUUGCUUGAGCAUGCUCGAGUUCAUCCCAGGUUUCUUCACUCGAAUGCUACUUCACACAAAUGGGCUUUUGGAGGUAAAGCUAUGAAUUCACUCUGCUGUAGCUAUCAAUUAGAUAGAUUUGUGAUUUUCUUACUCCUCUCAGUUGAUGAUGUUUGUUUUCUUUGUAAUGUAUUGCAGCAAUCGCUGAGCUACUUGACAAUGCUGUUGACGAGGUAUGUGUGAGGAGGGAAAUGCUUUCUUAAGUUCAUUUUUGAUUCGUUGUGAGUGAACUGUUUUUUUAAAGCAUUGGUAACGGGUUUGGUUAUAUCGAAUUGCUUAUUCCUCAGAUACAAAAUGGUGCUACGUUUGUUAAGAUCGAUAAGAUCAAUAUUGUCAAAGAUAAUUCCCCAGCUUUACUUUUCCAAGGUACAUUUCCUUUGAAUGACUGUGUGGUGCUUUUGCCUAACCAAGGCUUUGGAUGUUGUUGUUGACAUUGUUUCUCCUUUCUUUUUCAACUUGAAGAUGAUGGCGGUGGGAUGGAUCCCACUGGGCUCAGAAAAUGCAUGAGCUUAGGCUACUCAUCAAAGAAGUCUAAUACAACAAUUGGACAGUGUAAUUGUUUUACUUAGUUGAUAUGAUCUUGAGCUCGUUUUUAGUUGAGUGGUCUUGCAGUCUUUGUCUCCAACAGGCGGAGUUUCACCUUUUGUGUUCAGAUGGAAAUGGUUUCAAGACAAGUACCAUGAGACUUGGAGCUGAUGCCAUUGUUUUUAGUCGCUCAACUCGUGGAGGGUAUUGAUAUAUCUGGUCAUAUUCACUCUGAAUUUGGCGUUUGCUCUGUUUUAACCUUUUUUUAUUCUUCUCGGUUUUAGCACAUCUACUCAGAGUGUUGGUCUUCUGUCUUACACAUUCCUAAGAAAAACUGGUCAGGAUGAUGUCAUUGUUCCUAUGGUAAAAUCCUAAGCAUUUGUAGAUAUUGUUUCAUGCCUGAAAUAAAUAAGUAAUUCUGGAAACUCUUGAAUGUGCAACUAUUCUUUGUUCUCAAUUGAUAUAUCAGAUGUGCAAUGCAGAUUGAUUUUGAUAUAUCCAAGGAGCGACCACAACCAAUUAUUUAUGGAUCUCCAGAAGAUUGGGCUGCCAACCUUGAAAUUCUACUCAAAUGGUCUCCGUUUUCUACAGAGGAUGAACUUUUACAACAGGUUGUUUCUUUUGAAAGUCAGCUUUUGAAUAUCUCAUUGCAUCACUGUUCUUCCUUGGCUUGUGUCCCAAUGUGCUUCCGUUCCCCUAAAGCAGUCUGAAGUUUUUAUUACAUGUGAUUGCAGUCUGUUUUGUUAAUUUUUAUAAUUUCCAUCUUCCGCCCACCAGUUCGAGGACGUUGGAACUCAUGGAACAAAAGUAAUUAUAUACAACUUGUGGCUUAAUGAUGAAGGAAUCUAUGAGCUGAGUUUUGACGACGACGACGACGAGGUAACACACACUUUUCCUCAAAUGAUAAAUCUUCGAUGAGAUAUCUUGCCAGAGGUGUUUUAGGUCGGAUCUUAUGCUUUGAUAUUGGUAUAGGACAUUCGGCUCCGAGAUGAAAGUGUCAAUGACGGUAAACGGUUGCACCAUAAGUUAUUGGAACUGAGAUCUCAUAUUUCAUACCACUUACGUUACUCUCUGAGGGUAAUCUCCUUAAUAUUUUCUUCCUUUUUCUAAUAAUGUUUUGUUCCAAGGAUGUCUGAAGAUUUACUUUGUUAUUUCUUCAUCGCUAGGCAUAUGCUUCAAUGUUAUAUCUCAAAAAGUUCAAAAACUUCAAAAUUAUAAUUCGGGGAAUCCCUGUGGAGCAGUUCAACAUUGCCGAUGAAUUUAGAUUUCCCGAGAUUAUAAAGUACAAGCCCCAUACAGCUACAAUGGAACAAGUAAUACAAACUGGACUUCCUCUUCCUCUUUUCUUGUCUACUCUCUAGUUUUGUUAUGUGGAUCUUUGGCUAAUUGUUUUGCUAUUUUGCCGUUGCAUAUAAUGUUUGUGUUUUCAUAUGCAAACACUAAUCUAGGUUUUUAGGUUUAGGUUGUGAGAAAAAAACCCACUAGGCUUUCUUGUUACAGGCUUCCACUGAAAUCAAAGUUGGAUUUGUAAAGGAGGCGCCUAAGCUUGCAAUUUGCGGUUUCAAUGUCUAUCACAAAAACCGUCUCAUCCGGGUACGCUUUGAUCUAGAUAAUCUAAAGAAGCAUCUGUAGUAAGAUUGUUACUUGACAAUUCAGAGAAAUCAGCUUAUAUUACAGGAGUGCCAUGCUUAAUAGAACAUAAAAAGAUUGGUUUGCUAGCAUAUUUGUUACUUAAACGUCCGGCUUUGAGUAUGCCUUGAUUAAGUUUAGAUCUCUCUUGCACCAUUUACAGCCUUUCUGGAAGGUCACUAUGGGAGGGGACUCGACAGGCAAUGGUGUUGUGGGUAUAUUGAUUUAUUCUCCUUUGUGAUUUCAUUGACUAUGUUUAGUUUGACGUAAAGACCUGGCUGGAGACUCAUUAACCAAAAUCUGUUCCCCAGGAGUUCUUGAAGCAAACUUCAUAGAACCAGCCCACGAUAAGCAAGAUUUUGAAAGGUCUUCUCUAUUUCAGCGGCUGGAGGCGAGGUUGAAAAAGAUUGUCUAUAGUUACUGGUCUCUUCGUUCGCUCCAAAACCUUUUAAAAUUAUUUUCUCAAUAUUUUGUCAAGAUGAUCUUUGUUCCAAAUCGAAAAAUCUUUGGUUGACUCUUCCACUGCUUGUUAUGGAGAAAAACAGGUAUACCCACUGCCACGUUUUUGGAUACCAUACUUAUCAAAUGCCUGCAGAUAAGUCGAAAAAGAUAGCAAUACCUGAUCAACCGCCUACUGUCAAUACAUUCAAUCCUUCGCCAUUGCCUUCUGAUAAAAUAAGUCAAGGUGGUC
rnacentral:lncRNA from 1 species